UACAGAGGGUGCGAGCGUUAAUCGGAAUUACUGGGCGUAAAGCGCGCGUAGGCGGCUUUUCAAGUCGGAUGUGAAAUCCCCGGGCUCAACCUGGGAAUUGCAUUCGAAACUGAAUAGCUAGAGUUCGGCAGAGGGAAGUGGAAUUUCCGGUGUAGCGGUGAAAUGCGUAGAUAUCGGAAGGAACAUCAGUGGCGAAAGCGGGUCUCUGGGCAGUAACUGACGCUGAGGAACGAAAGCGUGGGUAGCGAACAGG
rnacentral:rRNA from 1 species